GAUUUCUGGCUUGAAACAAUCAGUCGGCUACGGUUUCGUAUGUUAGUACUGUGUUGUUCUGGCCAUCCUUCCAUUUUGUUUUAUCUGCUCUUCAUUGACUGGAUAAGAUAAAUGGAUCUUUUACUUUGAAAAAAUUAGAGUGUUUCAAGCAGGCUUAAUGCUAUGAAUACAUUAGCAUGGAAUAAUAAUUUAGGACUUCGGUUCUAUUUUGUUGGUUUCUAGGACUGAAGUAAUGAUUGAUAGGGAUAGUUGGGGGUGCUAGUAUUCAGCGGCCAGAGGUGAAAUUCUUGGAUUCGCUGAAGACUAACUUAUGCGAAAGCAUU
rnacentral:rRNA from 1 species